rnacentral:rRNA from 1 species
GCGGAUGGAGCUGACGAGAGUCGCAGAUACCAGGUGGCUGCAACUGUUUAUUAAAAACACAGCACUGUGCAAAAUCGUAAGAUGACGUAUACGGUGUGACGCCUGCCCGGUGCCGGAAGGUUAAUUGAUGGGGUUAGACUUCGGUCGAAGCUCUUGAUCGAAGCCCCGGUAAACGGCGGCCGUAACUAUAACGGUCCUAAGGUAGCGAAAUUCCUUGUCGGGUAAGUUCCGACCUGCACGAAUGGCGUAAUGAUGGCCACGCUGUCUCCACCCGAGACUCAGUGAAAUUGAAAUCGCUGUGAAGAUGCAGUGUACCCGCGGCUAGACGGAAAGACCCCGUGAACCUUUACUACAGCUUGGCACUGAACAUUGACCCUACAUGUGUAGGAUAGGUGGGAGGCUUUGAAGCACGUACGCCAGUAUGUGUGGAGCCGUCCUUGAAAUACCACCCUUGUAGUGUUGAUGUUCUAACGUCGACCCCUUAUCGGGGUUGCGGACAGUGCCUGGUGGGUAGUUUGACUGGGGCGGUCUCCUCCCAAAGAGUAACGGAGGAGCACGAAGGUGGGCUAAUCACGGUUGGACAUCGUGAGGUUAGUGCAAUGGCAUAAGCCCGCUUGACUGCGAGAAUGACAAUUCGAGCAGGUGCGAAAGCAGGUCAUAGUGAUCCGGUGGUUCUGAAUGGAAGGGCCAUCGCUCAACGGAUAAAAGGUACUCCGGGGAUAACAGGCUGAUACCGCCCAAGAGUUCAUAUCGACGGCGGUGUUUGGCACCUCGAUGUCGGCUCAUCACAUCCUGGGGCUGAAGUCGGUCCCAAGGGUAUGGCUGUUCGCCAUUUAAAGUGGUACGCGAGCUGGGUUUAGAACGUCGUGAGACAGUUCGGUCCCUAUCUGCCGUGGGCGUUGGAAGAUUGAAGGGGGCUGCUCCUAGUACGAGAGGACCGGAGUGGACGAACCUCUGGUGUUCGGGUUGUGUCGCCAGACGCAUUGCCCGGUAGCUAAGUUCGGAAUCGAUAACCGCUGAAAGCAUCUAAGCGGGAAGCGAGCCCUGAGAUGAGUCUUCCCUGAUACUUUAAGUAUCCUAAAGGGUUGUCGGAGACUACGACGUUGAUAGGUCAGGUGUGUAAGUGCUGUGAGGCAUUGAGCUAACUGAUACUAAUUGCCCGUGAGGCUUAACCAU